CGGGAGCCCCCAUCCUGGGGCUUGCAGGUUUCCCGGGGUGGAAAAACCCCCCCAUAGAUAGCGGCUUUCGGGUGAGUAUUGUCUAGGAAUCUGCCUGAUAGUGGGGGACAACGUGUGGAAACGCACGCUAAUACCGCAUACGUCCUACGGGAGAAAGGGGGCUUUUCGGAGCUCUCGCUAACAGAUGAGCCUAGGUCAGAUUAGCUAGUUGGUAGGGUAAAGGCCUACCAAGGCGACGAUCUGUAGCGGGUCUGAGAGGAUGAUCCGCCACACUGGAACUGAGACACGGUCCAGACUCCUACGGGAGGCAGCAGUGGGGAAUAUUGGACAAUGGGCGAAAGCCUGAUCCAGCCAUGCCGCGUGUGUGAAGAAGGCCUUUUGGUUGUAAAGCACUUUAAGCGGGGAGGAGGGCACCUUGGUUAAUACCCAAGAAUGUCGGACGUUACCCGCAGAAUAAGCACCGGCUAACUCUGUGCCAGCAGCCGCGGUAAUACAGAGGGUGCGAGCGUUAAUCGGAAUUACUGGGCGUAAAGCGCGCGUAGGCGGCUUGUUAAGUCAAAUGUGAAAUCCCCGAGCUUAACUUGGGCAUUGCAUUCGAUACUGGCAAGCUAGAGUAUGGGAGAGGAAGGUAGAAUUCCAGGUGUAGCGGUGAAAUGCGUAGAGAUCUGGAGGAAUACCGAUGGCGAAGGCAGCCUUCUGGCCUAAUACUUACGCUGAGGUGCGAAAGCAUGGGGAGCAAACAGGAUUAGAUACCCUGGUAGUCCAUGCCGUAAACGAUGUCAACUAGCCGUUGGGCCCCUUGAGGGCUUAGUGGCGCAGCUAACGCGAUAAGUUGACCGCCUGGGGAGUACGGUC
rnacentral:rRNA from 1 species